rnacentral:lncRNA from 1 species
UUCUUCUUUUUCAGUUUUCUGCCCUGCUUCCUGGCUGUCAGUUUUCGUCAGUGGAGCCUGGGUCUGGAAAUCAGUGGCCGUGUCUUCGGUGCUUCCCAACCGGUCCACAACUGUCUGAAUUACGUUCUGCACGAGUCUGCAGCUCUCAGUCUCAAGUUUCAAAAUCUCAUUUUCAGCCUUUAAAUCUUCCUCUCUUGUUUCACUCGCUCUGCCUUCCCAAAGAUCAACCUGCUCUUCGCCUGCAUCUGACUCCCGUUUCUGUGAUGUGGUUCUAUCUCCUUCCAGGUCGGCACUGAUGCCUUUUUCAGGAGUAACAGCUGCUAUCACCGGCACUGAUUCUGCCUGAGACUCAGUCCCUGUAGGCACCACAUCUUCACCCCGCUGAGCAGGAGCAUCUUCCUCUUUUUCUGAGGAUUUUUCUUCUGGUACGAAAUGUGCAUCUGCAGAUUCCAGCGUUUCAGCUGCUUCUAAAAUCUUGAUGGCUUCUCCUAAGACCUUCUCCUCCACUGCUGCUGCUGUUAGAGCUAAUGAUGCCUCAGCACUUUGAACAUGAAUUUCUGUGCCUGCGGCUUCCUUGUGAACGAGCAAAACACUUUCUUCAAAACUGACAACUUCCUUUUCCCCGUCUAUGUCGGUUACGUGAACUGCCUGAACCAGCUGCUGACUGAGCUCUUCACCUACGGUAACAGGUGGUUUGAGCUCAAGUUUCUCUUCCUUCACUUGGGUGGGCUCUGCUUCCAUUUCUUCCCUUUCCACAUCGGAAGAGGAUGCUUUUCUUGCUCUUUUCUUGGAUGACCCCACACAAAUCAAAGCUUCCCAGGACACGGAGGUGUCAACCUUGCGCUUGGGCUCUUCGGGCUUCGGCUCUUCUCCGUUUCCUUUCGCCUCUUCCUGCAUUUCGGAGGCUGCGCUCUCCGUGGAAGACAGGGUGGCGCUCUUGACCUUGUCCAAUUCGUCCUCCUUAUCACUUUCAGAAAGCCUUCUCACCCGUUUCUUGGGCGUCACCAUCUUUUUGAAAGAUGCCCAGGGGGUCACACCUUCCCUCUUUUUCUCUCCAUCAGAAGUGGUCCCUUCCUCUGUCUCCGCGUCCUGGGGGGCCUCGGCUACGCCUUUCUCCAGACACGUGAUCUCCUCCGGUUCUUCCGGGGACGAGGCCGAGCUCUCACCCUUCGCUUCGUCGGGGCUGUCGGGAGACUCUGCAGAGGCUGGAUGCUGCUCCCCGGACUCGUCAUCUCCUCCUCCUCUUUUCCCUUUCUGUUUCUUUCCAGAAAGCUUUUUUAAGCCAGUGCUUGUGAACAGUUUUUUUAAAGGGCUUCCUUGCACCUUAAUUCUCUCCUGCGAGGACAGCACCUCCGCCUCGGUCACAACGCCCUCGGGGGGUGUGGGCGGCGCUUUCCCCGCGGCGGCCGGGGCCCCUGCGGCGGCAGCAUCUUCCUCCGCCUCCAGCAGCUCCUCCGCGGGCUCGUCUGCCUCCGGCAGGUCAGCACUGGUGUCCGUGGGUUUUUCAGGUGACGCGGCCUCUCCUGGUUCUUCUUCCUCGGCUUUCGGCUCCUCGGCGUCCCUCUCUACCGUGCUCACGUGGACUUCCGCGACGAUCUCUACUUUGUCAUCAAAUAUUUCUGUUGCUAAAGGGGCGGGCUUCUCUGCGGGAGGUGCCUGGACUUGCUCUUCCGGGGGCAGCUCCACUUUCUCAUACUCCGCCGACAGCCUGGCCUCCGGGGCGCUCUCGGUGGCCUCCGCCGGGGGUGGCAGCUCGGAGGGCUCUUGGGUCGUCUCCGUUUCUUCUGCAUCUGCUUUUUCUGGCUCUUGUUCCUUUUUCUUCUCGGAAGCCUCCAGCUCGUCCUCCCUCGGCUUCCUGAAACUGGUCUUUUUGCGCCAGCCGGCCCAGCCUUGGGUGAAGAAUUUUUUGAAGGGCGAUGCGGUUUCGCUGGCCACUGGACUGGUGGGAGAGUCCGGAGAUUUGGUGGGUUCCUUCUCUUGCUUUUCUUCUCCGUCUUCUUUGCCUUCCUCGGCGGCUUGGCCAGACUGGGAGAUCUCCGUGCGACUCUGCUCCCGUCUGGGCGUCUCUUCGGGUUUCUCGGUGGACUGUUUCAGUUCACUUUCCUUGGGGGUCGCGUCCCCCAUCUCCUGGCCGGGCUCCGGGUGGUCCCCAGCGCCGUCGGACUCUCCUGCCCCUUCUCCUUCAUCCUUCUUGACGGUGAGGAGCUGCACCGUGUCAGACUUCUCGGUCUUAUCCUUUUUCACGGUGAAUUUGAAGCCGACAAACUUAAACACCUUCUUAAAGCCCACGUCGUUGGCCUGGGGCUCCGCGGCCUGUGUCAGCUCAUCCAAACUGCUCUCUGAUGCUGGGAGCUGCUCGACCACCUCAGGCAUUUCCUCCUGCCCAUCCUUGGCGUUGUCUUGAACCACCGCUGAGCUAGCAGCCAUCUCCUUGUCUGACUCUUUUUCACUCACAUCUUCAGACUCUCUUUGUCCAACUAUUAACAGAGAGAGAGAGAGGUGGACGACAGAAAGGGGGAAAAGGAUU